UGGGGAAUAUUGCACAUUGGGCGCAAGCCUGAUGCAGCCAUGCCGCGUGUGUGAAGAAGGCCUUCGGGUUGUAAAGCACUUUCAGCGGGGAGGAAGGCGGUGAGGUUAAUAACCUCAUCGAUUGACGUUACCCGCAGAAGAAGCACCGGCUAACUCCGUGCCAGCAGCCGCGGUAAUACGGAGGGUGCAAGCGUUAAUCGGAAUUACUGGGCGUAAAGCGCACGCAGGCGGUCUGUCAAGUCGGAUGUGAAAUCCCCGGGCUCAACCUGGGAACUGCAUUCGAAACUGGCAGGCUAGAGUCUUGUAGAGGGGGGUAGAAUUCCAGGUGUAGCGGUGAAAUGCGUAGAGAUCUGGAGGAAUACCGGUGGCGAAGGCGGCCCCCUGGACAAAGACUGACGCUCAGGUGCGAAAGCGUGGGGAGCAAACAGG
rnacentral:rRNA from 1 species